CAAAGUUUAUUUCUUACAACAAAGCGAAAGUUUCUGCAACUCAGCUAUCGUUUCAGGAAUUAUGGGGUGGCUGGCCGGAGCAAAUCGAACGGCUACGCGUAGAUCGGACGACCCUCCAAGUGGUGGAUGUUUAGUAAACAUCCACCGGUGGAUGCGUAGCAUGCCCCUUUUACCUUCAAGACAGAUAGAUGACAACUUAAGAGCUGAGAAGAUUAAUCAGCUUCGAAAAAAUAACGAUACGACAUGUGCUAGGAGUAGUAUUUGGCAUAUACUGGCCAAUUUGUGAUUGCAAAUACUAAUUUACAUGCUGACCAUGAAAGAGCUCCAAAGUUUAAUCAGCUUCCUAACUUAAUUGGUGACAGAUAUAUAUGACAGGUAGUACCAGAAUGUCACUUACUGGUUAAUACGGAGUAAUCGAUAGAAGGCAUGCCAUGUACAGUACUAAUUGACAUACUGACUUUAUUCGCCACACUUUGCAGCUUGCAAACACGGGUCUACUCAAAGUACAAAACCCAAAACCCAUGAACAUAGUACCAAGUCACAGUUACAACAGUAAAUAACAGGAGCACCACCACCACAACCUCCCUUCUUUUCCCUAAAUAAAAACUAUGCAGAUCCUAAGUAAACAAGGUACUACUAGAGGAUCUAUGUAGUUUUCGUUAGGUGGGCAUGCAGUGAACACACUCCUCACAUCAGUAACGCAGCAGCUAGGAGCUCGUCGACCUUAAUUAACUUGGCACGAUGGAGCUAGCUAGAAUGGGUAGUCCAUGGCAGGGAGCAUGCCGGGGACGCCAAGCAANNNNNN
rnacentral:lncRNA from 1 species